AGAGGAAGUAAAAGUCGUAACAAGGUUUCCGUAGGUGAACCUGCGGAAGGAUCAUUAUCGAGUUUUGAACGGGUUGUAGCUGGCCUCAUACGGGGCAUGUGCACGCCUGGCUCAUCCACUCUUCAACCUCUGUGCACUUAUUGUAGAUCGGUGAUAAGGUCGAGUUCUUUCACGAGUUCUUGACUGGAAAAACCUUUCUACGUUUUUACCACAAACGCUUCAGUUAUAGAAUGUUUAUCUGCGUAUAACGCAUCUUUAUACAACUUUCAGCAACGGAUCUCUUGGCUCUCGCAUCGAUGAAGAACGCAGCGAAAUGCGAUAAGUAAUGUGAAUUGCAGAAUUCAGUGAAUCAUCGAAUCUUUGAACGCACCUUGCGCUCCCUGGUAUUCCGGGGAGCAUGCCUGUUUGAGUGUCAUGGAAUUCUCAACUCUUAAUACUUUUUUGUAUCAAGAGCUUGGACUUGGAGGCUUGUGCUGGCUGCUCGUUCAGUCGGCUCCUCUGAAAUGCAUUAGCGUGAAUUAAUAUGGAUCGCUUCGGUGUGAUAAUUAUCUGCGCCGUAGUCGUGAAGUACUUGAUAACGUUUACGCUUCUAAUCGUCCUUCACGGGACAAUUAAACCUUGACUUUUUGACCUCAAAUCAGGUAGGACUACCCGCUGAACUUAA
rnacentral:rRNA from 1 species